rnacentral:misc_RNA from 1 species
GAUGAAGAACGCAGUGAAAUGCGAUAAGUAAUGUGAAUUGCAGAAUUCAGUGAAUCAUCGAAUCUUUGAACGCACAUUGCGCCCUCUGGUAUUCCGGGGGGCAUGCCUGUUCGAGCGUCAUUAUAACCACUCAAGCUCUCGCUUGGUAUUGGGGUUCGCGGUUCCGCGGCCCCUAAAAUCAGUGGCGGUGCCUGUCGGCUCUACGCGUAGUAAUACUCCUCGCGAUUGAGUCCGGUAGGUCUACUUGCCAGCAACCCCCAAUUUUUACAGGUUGACCUCGGAUCAGGUAGGGAUACCCGCUGAACUUAAGCAUAUCAUAAGCGGAGGA